AGUGGAUGAUUUAGGGCAAGGACUGAAGGAGCUGAAGGGGCCUUAUCUGGCAUCAACAGGAGGAGAGGCCCUUGGUCCUGUGAAGGCUUGAUGCCCCAAUGUAUAGGAAUGCUAGGGCGGCGAGGCAGGAGUGGGUCUAAUGGCUUUACAAAAGCCCAAUGCUCCUACCUUAAUGCACUCCUUUUGCUGUACCAGCUAGAAUGAAUUCAUUCUCAAAGUGCAUCCUGUGGAACAACUGGCAUCUUUCUCAAAGUGGAUCUUCAUAGAUAUGCAACAACGGUGUGAUAUUGAUUUUAGAAACUUCACAGGAUAAGCUCAAUGAAGAGACUAGAUGUGAGUGAAUGAUGACCCACAUAAUACAUAGGCACUAAAGAAGCACUGGAGAAAGCAUUAUAGAAGACCCUGAGAGGCAGCCGCAGCCCUCAGACGGAAGAGUGGCAUCAGGCCAGAAUCAGCUUGCCGGCAGGUGUUUGUAAAUUGCAACAGGAUUCCUACUGAAACAGUAUUGUAAAAGAGGCUAGCUUUCCUGGGAGGGCUUCAGAAGAUACUCAGUAUUUCACAGAUACACACAGUGAUAUCAACAGUCUUAACGGGAGGAACAGCAGGAGGAAGAGAAAGGAAGAUUAGAGGCUGCCUUCUUUCCGGUUAUUUCACUGGAAGGUUUGAAAAUCAGAACCAGUGGGGGAAAGCUGGAAGAAGCUGAGGAGGAGGACAACAGUAGAGGAGGACCAGCAGUCUCAACUAAAUGGACCCUUGGGAUCUCUCCAACACUGAGCCACCAACCAGGCAGCACACAGCAGCUGAUAUGAGGCCCCCAACACAUAUAUAGCAGAGGACUGCUGGGUCUGGACUCAGAGAAGAGAGACUGGAGGCCCCAGGGAUUGGGGAGGUCUGGUGGAGUAGGGGUGAGAUGGGGACAUCCUCUUGGAGAUAGUGGGAGCAGGUGUGUGAUGUGGAACAGUCCGAUGGUGGAACGGGAGGGGGAUAAAGUCUGCACUGUAAGAAAAGAUUUAAAAAUACACUUAAAUUUUUCUGAGGUUUUCAUACAUGAGCAUCUACAUCAUUUCUGUCCUUCUGUCACCUCCAAAUACUCACUCCCAAAUUCAUUAUCUCUUUUUGGUAAAGAUACUUUGAAAACUUCUUUAGGCACAGGGAUUUCACUCGGAGCUGUGGUUAUCAAAUGACUGUCUCUAUUGAGUAAAAUACUUCGUCUGUGGUUUGAAUAGCAUAUUCAAUCAGACCAGCAUUUAUGAUCUCUCCCCGGAAUGCUGAACACUGUGCUAAGUGGUGCAGAGAAAUUCUGACUUCUUUGGAUUUGUUAGGCUUAUAAAAAAUGUUAAGUGUGGGGUGGGUAUCCUGAUAAAGUUAUUAGUUUUUAAAAAAUUGUCAAGAACUCACACAGCAAACAGCUGUGACCUAUCCCCUUUCCUAAGCCCUCUAUAAACAGUACACUGACUGCCCUUGUACUGCUGAACAGUGACAAAAUUAAUAUAAAACAUUUCACCAUGUAUCUACUCUCCUUUUCCUGCUAUGGCAGCUUAAUUCUUAGUUGAACAAUGACAAAAGAUGGUAUUCUUCUCCAGACAAUUCCAAAUCGCUUUAAAGAAGUGACUUAGAUUAACCGAUCAUUACGUAGCAAUUACACUUUUCUUACUUCUACGGUUAUCUGUUAGGGAUCUAUAAUCACCAUCAACAUAGAUUUACAUAUUUUAAAAAGAAGUUUUAAUAUCUAUUGCAGAGGUUUGCAAACCUAACCAAAAUAAUAAUAAUAAAAACUCCCUCUCAUAAAAUCCUUUCUUCAAAUGAAAUCUUACACAGGAAUAUCUAAAAUAGAUCAUAGUGAGAGAUACUGAUUAAAGCUGGAUUCCACACCACAGAAGACCCCAGGGCACCUACACGAUUCCAGGGACCACAGGGUAGUCCUGAAUUGCCACUGAUCUAAUAGAGUCAGAGACUUGCAGAAUUCCUAAGUCAGGGGUGUCAUGGAGACGGCCAUAAAUUGUGGAAGAGCAGAGGAGGUCUCCUUAGACACGCCCUGGUUCACCUUCUCACUUCUGAGGUAAAAGACAGAGGCCUAGAAAGGUUACAAAGCACCCUGUGCAGUGGCAAACACAUGAGUUUAAAAUCACAAUUCCUUUAACUAAAUCUAUGGCUUUUCCUAUGUCAUUGCAAAAACCCACGGAUAUAGGCAAAAUAGGAUAGUAUCCUUUGGAAAGGAAUUUUUAAAAGUUUAUUUUAUGUUAUAUGUGUGAAUGUUUUGCCUGCCUAUUUGUCUGUGCCUUUCUGCAUGUUUU